rnacentral:rRNA from 1 species
UACAGAGGUCUCAAGCGUUGUUCGGAUUCAUUGGGCGUAAAGGGUGUGUAGGUGGCGCGCUAAGUCGGGUGUGAAAGCCCCGGGCUCAACCUGGGAAUUGCAUUCGAGACUGAGUAGCUAGGGUGCGGUAGAGGGAAGCGGAAUUUCCGGUGUAGCGGUGAAAUGCGUAGAUAUCGGAAGGAACAUCAGUGGCGAAAGCGGCUUCCUGGACCAGCACCGACGUUCAGGCACGAAAGCGUGGGGAGCAAACAGG